ACUAAAACACUGGUUCUCAUCCAAUCACUGAAGUUAAGCAAUGUCAAGUCUAGUCAGUACCUAGAUGGGUGACUGCUUGGGAAUACCAGGUGAUGUAAG